ensembl:piRNA 21ur-1416 ncRNA
UAGUCGCCCUAAAUGCUAUCA